CUGUUCAGUACCUCAUCAAACCAAACAUUCUCUUUCUCCCUCAUCGAACCUGACGCACCCACAACCCCUCUCUUCUCCCGUGAUCCCAAUCCCUAAUUCCUGCGACCCACCAAUCCCUUUCUUCUACAGCGACUGCGAUCGUCGUCCUCCGUUAUGGACGAUGGCGAUGAUUGCGACCUAUCAUCAUCAAUUCGGACAGUCCCUCUCACCAUUUGAUCGAUGAUGUUUGUGCCUUGUGGUGACGAGCAAGAUCCUGAAGCCACAAUUUCUGCCAUUAGUUAAUUUGGAUCUCCAUAGUGGUAACAAUCAGUGCGUGAAGAAGAACAGAGCAUGAAUCUCUUUUUUAUAAAAGUAAAUCGUAUGAGUUCAGUUAGAUGGGUGAUAGCUUUUUGUGAAAGAAUUUGCAAUGGUUUUGCUUGUCUGGAACUGUCAGUACCCAAGUACUAUCCUUGAUAAAUUUAGGCAAACCCGAAUUCACUUGAGUAAGCCCGAACCCAAUUUAAACCCGAAACCGAAUAAACAACAACAAUGGAAGAAGAGGCAAAGCCAGCCGUGUCCACAGCCACCCAAGUCCUCCCAUCCCCUCUGAGCUCCGCCGAAGUUCUCCCUGUAUGGCCUCCGCCGGUUUCUCUUCCUUCCAAGACCAAGAAGAGACCUCUUGAAAAUGAUGCCCUUUUCUCCAACUCAUCCACUCUCUAAAAGUUCUCCGGACCCCUGACUUUCGAACGUGCAAAUCAUCCGAAGAAAUUCAAGAUUGUCAGCUCACCAGGAUUUUGAUUUCAUCUUUUCACACAAUGGCAUAUAUUUAUCCCUUGAGUUUAAUAUGAUAAAGCUGAGCUGAUUUGUUAAUCUUAAAAUAGUGGUUUAUUAAUAUGGUACUUAUGAUUACAUCCGACCUUCAUUCACGUGCUAACUUGGUUUAUUAAUCUAGCAUUCAGAUGGCCUUCUGCUUCCUUUACUAGGAGAUAUCUGUCUCACUCAUCUUCUUAUGUUGACGCAUGGUUCUGUCCUGAGUUUCUUGAGCUCCAUAUGUGAAGCUGCUGAUGGAACUUUGCAAACAGAUGAUAGCGGAAACAGUUUCGGCCAUAAGAAAUAAGAAUGCGCCAGGUGAAAAGCCCCAAGAUACAAGGGCUUUUGGAAAACCAUCAGAAAAGAAGUUUCCAUCAGGUGUAGCCAGCGAGAAUCAGCGGGCUGAAGAUGGUUAGACUCAAGGGACAAAUAUUGUUGGUGGGUCUGCUUUUGGGUGGAAUUCCAUUACAUUUGUAGGUGAAGAACCAGUUUACCAUGGAAUAACAAAGGAGUCAUUUCGAGCUAAUGGCAGCAAAGAAACAGUUCUGUAAUCCUACCGUUAUCAUAGAUUCUGAUUUCAUUAGAAUGGUUAUUCACCUUGAUUCUUGAAAUGGGAUCAGUGGAUGUUGUAAUAUUAGAAUGAAUGAAUGAUUUGAUCAACUGAAAUUUAUGUAGCAAUUUUAUUACAGAAAGACAAGUUGUCAGAGUAGUA